CCGCCAGAAACGGUUAGUCCAUGGCUCCCACUCGGUCAGUCCACUCGGGCAGUCUAGGGCUCCAGGGAAAGCAAGCAACCCUAAGCGCCAAUUUCCAAAAGUACCCCUAACUAGACAAGGUCGACCUGAAUGCACAGAGAGGUAAUUUUGGAAAAACUCAAAACUAGGCUCAAAAGAUUCAUCUUGUCAAUUUCGAACACACUGUGUAAUUAGUUUUUAUUUUUGUCUGUAUUGUAUAGUCCAUGUAUGCGUCUAAAGAUUCGAUGUGAUGGAGAAUCUUGAAAAAUUUUGAGGUUUUGGGUGGAAGUAAACAAGGCCCGGUUCGCAUGGGACCGCCCGGUUCACCGGUUCGAUGAAAAGUCGGCUGGUUCAACCGGUUUAUAGCGGUUCGAUUGCACACGCGAUCUUUUAAGUGAAGCGAACCUGGUAGACUCUGGUACGGUCCUUUAGCGGUCGAACCACGGUCCGGUUUGGUCCCAAUAAGUAUGGUAUGUACUCCAGGGCAAAGGUCUUGUGUUCCAUUCGUUCUUAUAACAUUUUUUUUGCUUUUUUUCCAAAAAAUAGUUUCUUGCUUUUUUAAACUUUCCAAAUUAUUUUUUUGCUUUUAUAUUUUUGUAGUUUUUCCCUCCCAUAUAAAACCUAUUUCAACCUGUUCAUUUGUACUAUAGCUGCUACAUUUACUAUGACUACUAGUUACUUGCGCUUGUACUAUAUAUACUACCACCAAGGUUGUGUUUGUUUCCGUGUUCGCGAUGCUUAUAUUCGACCGACCCGAACUAAUUUUAAAAUGAUGAUUAAAAUGCAUAGUAAAAACUAACUUGCAAUUUAUAUUUACUCCAUAAAAGAGAAUGAUGGUACAACUGAAGAACUAUAAGAAAAAUAAAACAACUAUUAUAAUUAUAAAUAAAAGAUAAUGACUGAACUAACUGUAAAAAGUUCGGUUAGUGUAGACUCGUGACCGAACUAGGAACUGAAAACUUCGGUCUCAGACUCGAUUAGUUCCGGUAGCUCAAUUAUGUCAUACAAAUGGCUAAUUACUUGUGUAGACUCGUGACCGAACUAGUAACU
rnacentral:lncRNA from 1 species